AUGAACGCUGGCGGCGUGCCUAAUACCUGCAAGUCGAGCGAACAGAUGAGGAGCUUGCUCCUCUGACGUUAGCGGCGGACGGGUGAGUAACCCGUGGAUAACCUACCUAUAAGACUGGGAUAACUUCGGGAAACCGGAGCUAAUACCGGAUAAUAUAUUGAACCGCAUGGUUCAAUAGUGAAAGACGGUUUUGCUGUCACUUAUAGAUGGAUCCGCGCCGCAUUAGCUAGUUGGUAAGGUAACGGCUUACCAAGGCAACGAUGCGUAGCCGACCUGAGAGGGUGAUCGGCCACACUGGAACUGAGACACGGUCCAGACUCCUACGGGAGGCAGCAGUAGGGAAUCUUCCGCAAUGGGCGAAAGCCUGACGGAGCAACGCCGCGUGAGUGAUGAAGGUCUUCGGAUCGUAAAACUCUGUUAUUAGGGAAGAACAAAUGUGUAAGUAACUAUGCACGUCUUGACGGUACCUAAUCAGAAAGCCACGGCUAACUACGUG
rnacentral:rRNA from 1 species